rnacentral:rRNA from 1 species
GGUUAAGCGACUAAGCGUACACGGUGGAUGCCCUGGCAGUCAGAGGCGAUGAAGGACGUGCUAAUCUGCGAAAAGCGUCGGUAAGGUGAUAUGAACCGUUAUAACCGGCGAUGUCCGAAUGGGGAAACCCAGUGCAAUUCGUUGCACUAUCGUUAACUGAAUACAUAGGUUAACGAGGCGAACCGGGGGAACUGAAACAUCUAAGUACCCCGAGGAAAAGAAAUCAACCGAGAUUCCCCCAGUAGCGGCGAGCGAACGGGGAGCAGCCCAGAGUCUGAAUCAGCUUGUGUGUUAGUGGAACGGUCUGGAAAGUCCGACGGUACAGGGUGAUAGUCCCGUACACCAAAAUGCACAGGCUGUGAACUCGAAGAGUAGGGCGGGACACGUGGUAUCCUGUCUGAAUAUGGGGGGACCAUCCUCCAAGGCUAAAUACUCCUGACUGACCGAUAGUGAACCAGUACCGUGAGGGAAAGGCGAAAAGAACCCCGGCGAGGGGAGUGAAAAAGAACCUGAAACCGUGUACGUACAAGCAGUGGGAGCACCUUCGGGUGUGACUGCGUACCUUUUGUAUAAUGGGUCAGCGACUUAUAUUCUGUAGCAAGGUUAACCGUAUAGGGGAGCCGCAGGGAAACCGAGUCUUAACUGGGCGUUAAGUUGCAGGGUAUAGACCCGAAACCCGGUGAUCUAGCCAUGGGCAGGUUGAAGGUUGGGUAACACUAACUGGAGGACCGAACCGACUAAUGUUGAAAAAUUAGCGGAUGACUUGUGGCUGGGGGUGAAAGGCCAAUCAAACCGGGAGAUAGCUGGUUCUCCCCGAAAGCUAUUUAGGUAGCGCCUCGUGAACUCAUCUUCGGGGGUAGAGCACUGUUUCGGCUAGGGGGUCAUCCCGACUUACCAACCCGAUGCAAACUACGAAUACCGAAGAAUGUUAUCACGGGAGACACACGGCGGGUGCUAACGUCCGUCGUGAAGAGGGAAACAACCCAGACCGCCAGCUAAGGUCCCAAAGUCAUGGUUAAGUGGGAAACGAUGUGGGAAGGCACAGACAGCCAGGAUGUUGGCUUAGAAGCAGCCAUCAUUUAAAGAAAGCGUAAUAGCUCACUGGUCGAGUCGGCCUGCGCGGAAGAUGUAACGGGGCUAAACCAUGCACCGAAGCUGCGGCAGCGACACUAUGUGUUGUUGGGUAGGGGAGCGUUCUGUAAGCCUGCGAAGGUGGCCUGUGAGGGUUGCUGGAGGUAUCAGAAGUGCGAAUGCUGACAUAAGUAACGAUAAAGCGGGUGAAAAGCCCGCUCGCCGGAAGACCAAGGGUUCCUGUCCAACGUUAAUCGGGGCAGGGUGAGUCGACCCCUAAGGCGAGGCCGAAAGGCGUAGUCGAUGGGAAACAGGUUAAUAUUCCUGUACUUGGUGUUACUGCGAAGGGGGGACGGAGAAGGCUAUGUUAGCCGGGCGACGGUUGUCCCGGUUUAAGCAUGUAGGCUGGUUAUCCAGGCAAAUCCGGAUAAUCAAGGCUGAGGUGUGAUGACGAGGCACUACGGUGCUGAAGUAACAAAUGCCCUGCUUCCAGGAAAAGCCUCUAAGCAUCAGGUAACAUCAAAUCGUACCCCAAACCGACACAGGUGGUCAGGUAGAGAAUACCAAGGCGCUUGAGAGAACUCGGGUGAAGGAACUAGGCAAAAUGGUGCCGUAACUUCGGGAGAAGGCACGCUGGUGUGUAGGUGAAGUCCCUGCGGAUGGAGCUGAGACCAGUCGAAGAUACCAGCUGGCUGCAACUGUUUAUUAAAAACACAGCACUGUGCAAACACGAAAGUGGACGUAUACGGUGUGACGCCUGCCCGGUGCCGGAAGGUUAAUUGAUGGGGUUAUCCGUAAGGAGAAGCUCUUGAUCGAAGCCCCGGUAAACGGCGGCCGUAACUAUAACGGUCCUAAGGUAGCGAAAUUCCUUGUCGGGUAAGUUCCGACCUGCACGAAUGGCGUAAUGAUGGCCAGGCUGUCUCCACCCGAGACUCAGUGAAAUUGAACUCGCUGUGAAGAUGCAGUGUACCCGCGGCAAGACGGAAAGACCCCGUGAACCUUUACUAUAGCUUGACACUGAACAUUGAGCCUUGAUGUGUAGGAUAGGUGGGAGGCUUUGAAGCGUGGACGCCAGUCUGCGUGGAGCCAACCUUGAAAUACCACCCUUUAAUGUUUGAUGUUCUAACGUUGGCCCCUUAUCGGGGUUGCGGACAGUGUCUGGUGGGUAGUUUGACUGGGGCGGUCUCCUCCCAAAGCGUAACGGAGGAGCACGAAGGUUAGCUAAUCCUGGUCGGACAUCAGGAGGUUAGUGCAAUGGCAUAAGCUAGCUUGACUGCGAGCGUGACGGCGCGAGCAGGUGCGAAAGCAGGUCAUAGUGAUCCGGUGGUUCUGAAUGGAAGGGCCAUCGCUCAACGGAUAAAAGGUACUCCGGGGAUAACAGGCUGAUACCGCCCAAGAGUUCAUAUCGACGGCGGUGUUUGGCACCUCGAUGUCGGCUCAUCACAUCCUGGGGCUGAAGUAGGUCCCAAGGGUAUGGCUGUUCGCCAUUUAAAGUGGUACGCGAGCUGGGUUUAGAACGUCGUGAGACAGUUCGGUCCCUAUCUGCCGUGGGCGCUGGAGAAUUGAGGGGGGCUGCUCCUAGUACGAGAGGACCGGAGUGGACGCAUCACUGGUGUUCGGGUUGUCAUGCCAAUGGCACUGCCCGGUAGCUAAAUGCGGAAGAGAUAAGUGCUGAAAGCAUCUAAGCACGAAACUUGCCCCGAGAUGAGUUCUCCCUGAGACUUUAAGUCUCCUGAAGGAACGUUGAAGACGACGACGUUGAUAGGCCGGGUGUGUAAGCGCAGCGAUGCGUUGAGCUAACCGGUACUAAUGAACCGUGAGGCUUAACCUU